UACGGAGGAGGCAAGCGUUAUCCGGAUUUACUGGGCGUAAAGAGCGCGCAGGCGGUCGUUCAAGUCGCGUGUGAAAGCCCCCGGCUCAACUGGGGAGGGUCACGCGAUACUGAUCGACUCGAAGGCAGGAGAGGGUAGUGGAAUUCCCGGUGUAGUGGUGAAAUGCGUAGAUAUCGGGAGGAACACCAGUGGCGAAGGCGACUACCUGGCCUGUUCUUGACGCUGAGGCGCGAAAGCUAGGGGAGCAAACGGG
rnacentral:rRNA from 1 species